UAUUACUUCUAUUGGAUUUGUUUUUCUUGCUCGUCACGAGUUCUCUCGUGACUUGUCCAUUCUUGUAACCAACUUGUCAACAUGAGUACAUGUUUAGCACCCGCAGCACCUCCUCACACAUUGUGAGACCCUGUUAGAAUCUCUCUCUCUUUUAUCUUAUAACGGAAGUUCAGGGUACUUAUCUCUACCACAACUGCAGUACCAACAAAACCUUCGCUCCAAAUAAUACCUUCCGAAGGGACCGGAUCACCCUCCUCUCUUCCUUGGCUUCCGCCAACUCUGAGUUCCACAACACCAUCGUUGCUGGUGGCGGCGACACUGUCUACUGCCUCUUCAUGUGCCGGGGUGACGUCACACUCCAGGUGUGCCGCCAAUGCGUGGUUAACACAGCCCAACGAAUAACUUAGCUUCCGAGUGCCAAUUUUCGAAGGAGGCCAUAUCUGGUAUGACUAAUGCAUGCUCCGCUAUUCCAACCGCUCCUUCUUCCCCACCGUCGACACAAGGCCUAGAAUCGGCCUCUUGAACGUGUCUAAAGUGUCCCGGGGGAGCUUCUUUCAGUUAUUGUUGGACACACUUAACUUUACGGCAAACAAAAGCAGCCAACGACGCUAGGAAAUAUGCGACAAGCGAUGCGAGCAUAUCUGGGUUCGAAACUAUGCAUUCUCUACUUCAGUGCACGCCGGACCUCUCAUCCCAAGAUUGCAGAAGGUGUCUCAGAGGUGUGAUUGAGACCUUCCAUGGUGCCGGGUGGGACAAGAAGGAGGAAGAGUUAUAUAUCCCAAUUGCCAUGUUCGCUAUCAGUUGUGUCUCUUUCACAGCUCUGUAUGAUCAGCCAGUGGCGAUGACACCUUCAUCGUCUGUAGUACAGACUCUAUACUCUCUCCUCUCACAAAUUCUUCAGAUCCUAAAGGUAAAGUUCAACUUAAUCGAACAUUUCUUUGUUGUUGUUGAGAAAUUAAUACCCCUUCUUAUUUUCUAUAUGAUGCCAUUACAUUGAGACUUGGAAGUAUACGAUGUUCUGCAAUAAAAGGGAAAGGUCGAUCAGGGAAGACCAUUAUGAUAGUUGUGGUUUCUCUUGUUGGUUCUGGGAUACUUUUUGGUUUCUCCUACUAUCUCUUAAAGAGUGUCAUAAAGAAGAGACGCACCGCGAUUCUUAGACAAAACUACUCCAUUUAGAGCCUUUGCAGUUUAGUUUGGCUACUAUUGAAGCUGCAACUGAUAAGUUUUCACAUGAAAACUUCUUAGGAGGAGGUGGAUUUGGACAUGUUUACAAGUUGACAAAUGCCAAUGAUGUCGUUCUUUCAAGUUGGCCAAGAAAUAGCAAUCAAAAGACUUUCGAAAAGUUCUAGGUAGAAGAAUUCAAGAACGAGGUUUUGUUAAUUGCCAAACUCCAGCACAGAAAUUUGGUAGCUUUACUUGGAUUCUGCAUUGAAGGGCAAGAGAAAAUUCUUAUUUAUGAAUAUGCUCCAACAAAAGCCUUGAUUUGAAACCAAGCAAUUUUUUUUUUCGGCCAUGAAACCAAGCAAUAUUUUAUUAAAUGAUGAAAUGAAUCUAAAAAUUUUAGAUUUUAGAUUGACUAAAAUAGUUGCUAUCAAUGCAAAUGAGGGGAGUACAAGUAGAAUUGUUGGAAUAUAAUAAGUCCUAAGUUGACCUUUUCAACUAAUAAUCUUAGAUGUCCAGAUUUUCUUAUCAUAUAUUGAAUAAAGUUUUAUUAUCAAUAAUUUUCAGUGGUUAGCUGUCUUCAAAGUAUGCAAUGUUUGGAGAAUACUUUAAAAAAUCAAAUAUUUUCAUUUUGGAGUUAUAGUUUUGAAAAUUAUUAGUGGAAAGAAGAAGACAAGUGGUCAUGAUAAAUCACAAUAUGCUGAUGGCCUCUUAAUCUAUGUAAGUUAUAACAAUGUAUAUCUCUUGUACUGCUAAUAUUGCUGACGCAAUCAUCCCAUCCUUUAGAUUCGAAGAAAAGAUAUUUUACCGUAUAAGUUAAACAAAGAAUUUGGAUUCAAAAGUAGUUUACUGAAUUGUU